rnacentral:rRNA from 1 species
AGCAGGCGCGCAAAUUACCCACUCCCGGCACGGGGAGGUAGUGACGAAAAAUAACGAUACGGGACUCAUCCGAGGCCCCGUAAUCGGAAUGAGUACACUUUAAAUCCUUUAACGAGGAUCAAUUGGAGGGCAAGUCUGGUGCCAGCAGCCGCGGUAAUUCCAGCUCCAAUAGCGUAUAUUAAAGUUGUUGCGGUUAAAAAGCUCGUAGUCGAAUUUGUGUCCCGCGCCGCCGGUUCAUCGCUCGCGGUGUCCAACUGGCGUGCCCGCGGGACGUCCUGCCGGUGGGCUUAGCUCGCGAGGGCGGCCCAACUGCAAAUCCCGCCGCGGUGCUCUUCACUGAGUGUCGAGGUGGGCCGGCACGUUUACUUUGAACAAAUUAGAGUGCUUAAAGCAGGCCAAAAUUUCGCCUGAAUACUCAGUGCAUGGAAUAAUGGAAUAGGACCUCGGUUCUAUUUUGUUGGUUUUCGGAACCCCGAGGUAAUGAUUAAUAGGAACGGAUGGGGGCAUUCGUAU